rnacentral:misc_RNA from 1 species
UCCGGUUUGUCACCGGCAGUCUCGCAUGAGUCCCCAACUAAAUGCUGGCUACAUGCGACGGGGGUUGCGCUCGUUGCGGGACUUAACCCAACAUCUCACGACACGAGCUGACGACAGCCAUGCAGCACCUGUGUUCCGGUUCCCUUUCGGGCACAGCCACCUUUCGGCAGCCUUCCGGACAUGUCAAGGGUAGGUAAGGUUGUUCGCGUUGCAUCGAAUUAAUCCACAUCAUCCACCGCUUGUGCGGGUCCCCGUCAAUUCCUUUGAGUUUUAGCCUUGCGGCCGUACUUCCCAGGCGGAGUGCUUAACGCGUUAGCUACGGCACCGCAGGGGUCAAUACCCGCGACACCUAGCACUCAUCGUUUACGGCGUGGACUAC